rnacentral:rRNA from 1 species
GACGAAAGUCUGAUGGAGCAACGCCGCGUGAGCGAAGAAGGCCUUCGGGUCGUAAAGCUCUGUUGUUAGGGAAGAACAAGUAUCGGAGUAACUGCCGGUACCUUGACGGUACCUAACCAGAAAGCCACGGCUAACUACGUGCCAGCAGCCGCGGUAAUACGUAGGUGGCAAGCGUUGUCCGGAAUUAUUGGGCGUAAAGCGCGCGCAGGCGGUCCUUUAAGUCUGAUGUGAAAGCCCACGGCUCAACCGUGGAGGGUCAUUGGAAACUGGGGGACUUGAGUGCAGAAGAGGAAAGCGGAAUUCCACGUGUAGCGGUGAAAUGCGUAGAGAUGUGGAGGAACACCAGUGGCGAAGGCGGCUUUCUGGUCUGUAACUGACGCUGAGGCGCGAAAGCGUGGGGAGCAAACAGGAUUAGAUACCCUGGUAGUCCACGCCGUAAACGAUGAGUGCUAAGUGUUAGGGGGUUUCCGCCCCUUAGUGCUGCAGCUAACGCAUUAAGCACUCCGCCUGGGGAGUACG